rnacentral:piRNA from 1 species
UCUGAGUAUCUUCUAGGGCCUUCUCCACUA